rnacentral:lncRNA from 1 species
CCUCAAGUUUGGGUUUCACCUUCCGUGGAUUCAUGCGUACAACCAGCUGUCCAUACCCUUUGCUUAGGAUUUAGGAUAGCAGGUUUCCCGUUUGUUAACUCAAAUACAGCCAGUCAGUGCAAACCAAAAUAAGGUGGCACAGUAGAAGCUAUCUUAAUUGAAGAAAUACUAUCCAUGACUUUAUUUCCCAUUGGGAGUAGAACCGGGAGACAAAUUUUCCUUGCUUUAAGCAGUUUUAAUGGCAGAAAAAAGACGGCUCUCUUAACACGGAAGAAGAUGAUGACGAAGACGAUGUAGUGGAUUUGGCAGCCAAUUCACUCUUAAACAAGUUAAUCCGCCAGUCCUUAGUAGAAUCCAGCCACCGAGUGGAAGUCUUACAAAAGGAUCCCAGCUCUCCACUCUACUCGGUGAAAACAUUUGAAGAGCUACGACUAAAGGAAGAGUUACUAAAAGGGAUUUAUGCAAUGGGAUUUAACCGACCAUCCAAAAUCCAAGAGAUGGCCCUCCCCAUGAUGCUCGCACAUCCUCCCCAGAACCUCAUAGCACAGAGCCAGUCCGGCACAGGAAAAACCGCUGCCUUUGUCUUAGCGAUGCUAAGCAGAGUGAAUGCCUUGGAAUUGUUUCCACAGUGCCUCUGCCUGGCUCCCACCUAUGAACUGGCUCUGCAGACCGGCCGCGUGGUUGAAAGAAUGGGGAAAUUCUGUG